UAAAACUUCUAAGUCUGAAGCUCACAUGAGAAAAAUUAGGACAAAGAAGACAACCCAUCCGUUAUGCCUUCAGACCUCAGCUGCAAUGAAGAUUUCAAAUAGGAUACAUCUCAAAAUUCGUAACCCCAAUGGUGUUACAUCACAAUAAUUACAGCCACCACAAAAACCCCUACAUGGAACUUUGACAUUUCAACAACAAUCUCAACUACCACAAAAUUUUAUUUCAG
rnacentral:lncRNA from 1 species